rnacentral:rRNA from 1 species
AUUGAACGCUGGCGGCAGGCCUAACACAUGCAAGUCGAGCGGAUGAAGGGAGCUUGCUCCUGGAUUCAGCGGCGGACGGGUGAGUAAUGCCUAGGAAUCUGCCUGGUAGUGGGGGAUAACGUCCGGAAACGGGCGCUAAUACCGCAUACGUCCUGAGGGAGAAAGUGGGGGAUCUUCGGACCUCACGCUAUCAGAUGAGCCUAGGUCGGAUUAGCUAGUUGGUGGGGUAAAGGCCUACCAAGGCGACGAUCCGUAACUGGUCUGAGAGGAUGAUCAGUCACACUGGAACUGAGACACGGUCCAGACUCCUACGGGAGGCAGCAGUGGGGAAUAUUGGACAAUGGGCGAAAGCCUGAUCCAGCAAUGCCGCGUGUGUGAAGAAGGUCUUCGGAUUGUAAAGCACUUUUAGUUGGGAGGAAGGGCAGUAAGUUAAUACCUUGCUGUUUUGACGUUACCAACAGAAUAAGCACCGGCUAACUUCGUG